rnacentral:rRNA from 1 species
GGUUAAGCGAAUAAGCGUACACGGUGGAUGCCUAGGCAAUCAGAGGCGAUGAAGGACGUGCUAAUCUGCGAUAAGCGUCGGUAAGGUGAUAUGAACCGUUAUACCCGACGAUUUCCGAAUGGGGAAACCCAAUAUCCAAUGGAUAUUAUCAUUAACUGAAUACAUAGGUUAAUGAAGCGAACCGGGAGAACUGAAACAUCUCAGUACCCCGAGGAAAAGAAAUCAACCGAGAUUCCCCUAGUAGCGGCGAGCGAACGGGGAACAGCCCAGAGUCUUAAUCAAUAGCAGCAUCAGGAGAACGGUCUGGAAAGUCCGGCAGUAAAGGGUGAUAGCCCCGUAUCUGAAGAUGCUGUUAUUGUGAACUCGACGAGUAGGGCGGGACACGUGUUAUCCUGUCUGAAUAUGGGGGGACCAUCCUCCAAGGCUAAAUACUCCUGAUUGACCGAUAGUGAACCAGUACCGUGAGGGAAAGGCGAAAAGAACCCCGGCGAGGGGAGUGAAAAAGAACCUGAAACCGUGUACGUACAAGCAGUAGGAGCCUCUUUAUGGGGUGACUGCGUACCUUUUGUAUAAUGGGUCAGCGACUUAUAUUCUGUAGCAAGGUUAACCGUAUAGGGGAGCCGUAGGGAAACCGAGUCUUAACUGGGCGAAUGAGUUGCAGGGUAUAGACCCGAAACCCGGUGAUCUAUCCAUGGGCAGGUUGAAGGUUGGGUAACACUAACUGGAGGACCGAACCGACUAAUGUUGAAAAAUUAGCGGAUGACUUGUGGAUGGGGGUGAAAGGCCAAUCAAACCGGGAGAUAGCUGGUUCUCCCCGAAAGCUAUUUAGGUAGCGCCUCGUGAACUCAUCUUCGGGGGUAGAGCACUGUUUCGACUAGGGGGUCAUCCCGACUUACCAACUCGAUGCAAACUGCGAAUACCGAAGAAUGUUAUCACGGGAGACACACGGCGGGUGCUAACGUCCGUCGUGAAGAGGGAAACAACCCAGACCGCCAGCUAAGGUCCCAAAGUCAUGGUUAAGUGGGAAACGAAGUGGGAAGGCUCAGACAGCCAGGAUGUUGGCUUAGAAGCAGCCAUCAUUUAAAGAAAGCGUAAUAGCUCACUGGUCGAGUCGGCCCGCGCGGAAGAUGUAACGGGGCUAAACCAUGCACCGAAGCUGCGGCAGCGACACUAUGUGUUGUUGGGUAGGGGAGCGUUCUGUAAGCCUGCGAAGGUGUACUGUGAGGUAUGCUGGAGGUAUCAGAAGUGCGAAUGCUGACAUAAGUAACGAUAAUGCGGGUGAAAAACCCGCACGCCGGAAGACCAAGGGUUCCUGUCCAACGUUAAUCGGGGCAGGGUGAGUCGACCCCUAAGGCGAGGCUGAAAAGCGUAGUCGAUGGGAAACGGGUUAAUAUUCCCGUACUGGUGGUAACUGCGAUGGGGGAACGGAGAAGGCUAGGUUGUCCGGGCGACGGUCGUCCCGGUUCAAGCAUGUAGGCAGAGUGAUUAGGCAAAUCCGGUCACUUAAUGCUGAGGUGUGAUGACGAGCCACUAAGGUGGUGAAGCAAUUGAUGCCCUGCUUCCAGGAAAAGCCUCUAAGCUUCAGGUUACCAACAAUCGUACCCCAAACCGACACAGGUGGUCAGGUAGAGAAUACUCAGGCGCUUGAGAGAACUCGGGUGAAGGAACUAGGCAAAAUGGUGCCGUAACUUCGGGAGAAGGCACGCUGGCGGUAAGUGAAGUCCCUUGCGGACGGAGCCGAAGCCAGUCGAAGAUACCAGCUGGCUGCAACUGUUUAUUAAAAACACAGCACUGUGCAAACACGAAAGUGGACGUAUACGGUGUGACGCCUGCCCGGUGCUGGAAGGUUAAUUGAUGGGGUUAUCCUUAGGGAGAAGCUCUUGAUCGAAGCCCCAGUAAACGGCGGCCGUAACUAUAACGGUCCUAAGGUAGCGAAAUUCCUUGUCGGGUAAGUUCCGACCUGCACGAAUGGCGUAAUGAUGGCCAGGCUGUCUCCACCCGAGACUCAGUGAAAUUGAACUCGCUGUGAAGAUGCAGUGUACCCGCGGCAAGACGGAAAGACCCCGUGAACCUUUACUAUAGCUUGACACUGAACAUUGAGCCUUGAUGUGUAGGAUAGGUGGGAGACUUAGAAGUGUGGACGCCAGUCUGCAUGGAGUCAACCUUGAAAUACCACCCUUUAACGUUUGAUGUUCUAACCUAGGUCCAUAAUCUGGAUCGGGGACCGUGUCUGGUGGGUAGUUUGACUGGGGCGGUCUCCUCCUAAAGAGUAACGGAGGAGCACGAAGGUUGGCUAAGCAUGGUCGGACAUCAUGCGGUUAGUGCAAAGGCAUAAGCCAGCUUGACUGUGAGAGUGACGGCUCGAGCAGGUACGAAAGUAGGUCUUAGUGAUCCGGUGGUUCUGAAUGGAAGGGCCAUCGCUCAACGGAUAAAAGGUACUCCGGGGAUAACAGGCUGAUACCGCCCAAGAGUUCAUAUCGACGGCGGUGUUUGGCACCUCGAUGUCGGCUCAUCACAUCCUGGGGCUGAAGUAGGUCCCAAGGGUAUGGCUGUUCGCCAUUUAAAGUGGUACGCGAGCUGGGUUUAGAACGUCGUGAGACAGUUCGGUCCCUAUCUGCCGUGGGCGUUGGAAGAUUGAGAGGGGUUGCUCCUAGUACGAGAGGACCGGAGUGAACGCACCACUGGUGUUCGGGUUGUCAUGCCAAUGGCAUUGCCCGGUAGCUAAGUGCGGAAGAGAUAACCGCUGAAAGCAUCUAAGCGGGAAACUUGCCUCGAGAUGAGUCUUCCCUGUCACCUAGAGUGACCUAAAGGAACGUUUAAGACUAAGACGUUGAUAGGCUGGGUGUGUAAGCGUAGCGAUACGUUGAGCUAACCAGUACUAAUGAACCGUGAGGCUUAACCUG